AUUUGAAAUAAAAGAAGGAAAAAAUGCAGAAAAAAUAAAAGAAAUAUUAACAAUAAUUUAUCCAUUACUUAUUAUUAAAGGGGGAUAGCAAUGGCCGUGGGUCACGUGUGUGGCCGACAUACCGCGAAUGAAUAGGGGGGUCUGGAAGCAUUAACUCCCCCAGAAAAUUUUUGAAAUUUCAAGCCCAAAAAUGCCAUUUCCUGCCGUCUGAGCAUCUAAAGAAUUUAUCCUAACUAUACUUCUAUUUGAAAUAAAAGAAGGAAAAAACACACAAAGAAUUUAAAAAAUAUUAACAAUAAUUUAUCAUUACUUAGUGUUAGAAACACGUAGGAUGCGCACGCGGUGUCCUUUAAAUCGAUUUUGUUAAACAAGGAUAAAGCCUAAAACGUACGUUCCGUUUAUCAAUUUGUUAUUCUUCGCUGGUUUGUUUGUAUAAAUUUAGGAAAAAGGGAC